rnacentral:lncRNA from 1 species
CCUCAUACUCACAACACAAAGUUUAUUGAAUUGAAACAUCGAAGACAUAAGAAAGAUUACACCUAAAAUGCCAAGGAAGUCCACUUUGAAAUCUGCACAGAAAGCUCCUCUUUCUUCUUCUCCUUGCUGCGGCAGUGAGGGUUAGGGGGUUUUUGGAUGGUUUUGGAUGAGGGAGAAUGGUGGAAAACUGUCUAGGAUAGGUGUAGGGCACGGCUAGGAAGGUUUGGGGUCAGAAAAUAUGGAGUUGGGUGAAGGUUGGGCUCGGCAAAGGUGAGGGACAGGUUCUGGCGUGAAUGGAGUUUCUAGAUGUGUUUUUGGUUUUUUAGAAUGGAGUUAGGAUGGUAGGGUGGUGCGGCAAGGUGUGGGAAAGAGUUAUGGAGGUGUGGAAUGGUGUCUAAAGGUGGAGGAUGGUGGCUGGAAUGGAUGAAUGGCUGCGGCAAGGAAGGGAUUUGGGUGAUGGUGGCUGCGGCAAGGUGGGGAAAGGGAUAUGGUUUUCUGAUUUUUAUGGAGAGGGAAGAAGAUGUGCGGCUAGGGUGUAGAAAUAUAUAUAUAUAGGCACUUAAAAACCCUAGCAAUUCAGAUUAGAACAAUGGGCUAGGGUUAAGGUUUGUAAAAUAGGGCUUUUUGGAUGGAAAGGUGCGGCAUAGGCUUAGGGAUUUCCAAUCAGAUUUUUGCAUGUGAACAAGGCCUAGGUGCGGCUGAAACAAUGGGCUAGGGUUAGGGUUUAGGUACGGCAUAGGUCCAAGAGUUAAGGAUGGGUCAUCCAAAAGCCCAAAACCGAGAAUAGAAACUCACGAAAAUGGAAACCUCCAAGAAUAGAAACUUCCAACUUUAGAAACUUUGGUUGCCAAUUCCGAUUUAGGAAAGAUCAACCCAAAAUGGAAACUUUUAGGCUUAGCUUUCCUACUUCAAGUAGGAAACCUCAAAUCUUCAACUCUUCAAUUUCAUCCCAACCUUGCGUUCCAAGCAUGUCCUUUUUACUUCAAGCUCACUUUCUGCUCCAAAAGCUCCAAACUGCAUCAUUUCAUGUAAUACGUCCGCUAAACCUGAAAACACAAGAAAGUAGCUUAAAAGACUACUUUAACGAAGAAAACAUAACAAAGAUGCAUAAGAACUAGCUAACUAAGGCGCAUAAAUAUGCUCCUAUCAAAUUCCCCCACACUUAGCUUUUGCUAGUCCUCGAGCAAAACAAAACAAAAAGAAAGAAAAAAAUGAAACAAACUAACCAAAACAAAACCUAAACCUUCCAACAAUUGCCUCAGGGAUUUCCAAUGCACAUGACAUGUUAAAGAUUGUUAUCCCCACAAAUUUGAGUCAUCUUUACACAAGCACAUACUUAAUUAAAGCCACCACUUACUAAUUCACAAGUAAUCAAUCAAAACAAUGCUUUGAAUGUAGUAACAUGCCUUAGAGAAUUCCCUCAAUUCCUUACAAGAUAUACACUCUAUUUUCACUCAGAUUUUCUAACUCCACACCCUACACUAGUCAUAUGUGAGAAGAUUGAUGUAGAAAUGAAAACGAAUGCUCACAUAUAUGUAUCACAAAGAACGCAAUUUCUAGAGUUAAGAAGCCUGUUUUGAUAUGAUCUCAUGAAUGGAAUGCUACUACUUAGAUGCGAGAACCAGUGACACCAUAUGCUCAUACCAAAUUCAAACUCCACAAAUUGAAACACAUAACACUCAAGAUAGAAGUUAAGGGUUGUAAUGGGGCUUGGGGUAUUGGUUAACAAAGAAAGGAUAGGGAAAACAAACGUUCUUCAAGCAAUAGUAAGCAAAGCAAUGAAAUUGAGACUUAGAAUUCACUUAGAUUGCAGAAAUUAACUUUAACACACAAGGGGGAUACUUAAACAACUUCUUAGGGCCGAAUUCAUUGUUUUGGACCCUUACUUCAACAAACAAUACUUUGGAACUCUUUUUCUCAAUUUUUCAACUCUUUUUUUUUUUCAAACUUUUCAUAUUUUUUUUCUUCAACUUUUCUUUGCCGUGCCUUUGGCACACAAUUCCUCAUGAAAAACACUUCCCCCACACUUAUUUUCUGCCAACAUAAAUCAAAAGGAAUUCAAUUUGAAUCAUGCUUUACUAUGCUUUAAGAACAAGGGUUUGGAUGGUCCUAAACUAGGCUAGGUGAGGAAAACAUGGGUUAACAAAUAACGAAGGCUAACAAGGCUCAAUGGGGUUAAAACCUACAAAUCACAAUGACAUAGGGCACACGGCUUUUUGGCUAAGGUGGUGGUCACUACACAACUUCAUCUUGAAUAUGUGUUAUGCAAAUCAAUAACAUGCUUUGAAUGAAAUGGGCAUGAGUUCUAGCAUUUGGAACUAAAUGAUGAAACGCCUUCUAAGUAGCAACCAAGCAAGGAAUAAUGAGAUCAUGCAACGACUUAGAAAACAAAGAAUGCACAGAUUUUAACUCUCCAAAUAAGCGUUUAGGCUCAAGUCUCACAAGGUUGUAGCGUUAGUUUGAGUUCCUUCCUUCAAGCAUGUUACAAAAACUGAUUUUUUUUUUUUUUAUGAUUGCAUGUGAAUUCAUAAGUUAUAACCACAACUAAACAUAACAAAGAGUAAAUCAAACUUUCAUCCAUGUUAGUCACUUUCUUUAACAGUCAUGCACUUAAAAACCAAAUCCUCAUCAUUGUGUUGGAAGGUACCCUAAGACACAAACAAACACAAAAACAACUCUUUUUGGGUUUUUAAAACAAAUUUUUCAAAUUUUUAUGUAAUUUUCGGAUUUUUACUUCAAAACACACUAAAACACAUCAAAACUGCUCAAAAACACUUAAAAACAGCAAGGAACAAGUCUUCAAGUUUAGGGUGAUAAAAUCCCACGAAUUUGUAUCUAAAACACUUAGUUACCCCCCCCACACUUAAAUCAAACAUUGUCCUCAAUGUUUCAAGCAUAAAACCACACUAAACAAAAAGAAACAUAAAACAGCAAGUAAAACAACUAAAUAGGCAGAUUCAAAAUAAACAACAAAGAGAAGGGUUUAGGAACGCAAAUCUGGAAUUGAAGUAAUUCCUUGGUCUUCCUUUGUUGAAUUGCAUGGGUUGCCUCCCAAGUAGCGCUUUCUUUUACGUCGUACAGCCGGACGAAAAGCCCUUUUAUUCUCCAUUUGUGCCCACGGCACCCAAAGAAAUAUCCUCCACAGUUUGUUCAACAAAGUUCUCAUAAUAUGGCUUCAAACGGUGUCCGUUCACUUGGAAUUCAUGACCUGUUUUGAGACUUUGAAUCUGGAUGGCACCAUAAGAAGAUAUGUUAGUAAUAACAAACGGUCCAAUCCACUUAGAACGUAACUUACCGGGAAACAAACGUAAACGGGAAUUGAACAAUAGCACUUUCUGCCCAAUUGAGAAUGAUUUCCCACGGAUCAUGUUGUCAUGGAAAGCUUUGGUCUUUUGCUUGUAAAUGCUUGCAUUAUCGUACGCCUCAAGCCGUAUCUCAUCAAGCUCAUUCAAUUGCAAUCUCCUUUGACUUCCUGCUUCCUCGAGGUUCAUGUUAAACUUCUUAAUGGCCCAAAGUGCUUUGUGCUCCAAUUCAACAGGAAGAUGGCACGCCUUGCCAUAGACAAGUCGGAAGGGGGACAUCCCAAUGGGGGUUUUGUACGCCGUACGAUACGCCCAAAGUGCAUCAUCUAACCGUAAGCUCCAAUCCUUCCUUGUUGGCCCCACGGUCUUCUCUAGGAUUUGCUUGAUCUCACGGUUAGAAACCUCGGCUUGCCCAUUAGUUUGAGGAUGGUAAGGUGUAGAAACCUUAUGGGUGACACUGUAUUUCCUCAAUAACGCUUCAAUAGUCCGAUUGCAAAAGUGUGACCCUCCGUCACUAAUGAUCACUCGUGGCAUUCCGAACCUUGCAAAAAAUGUUAGUUCUAAUAAAAUCUGCAACCACCUUAGAAUCAUUAGUCCGGGUGGCCUUGGCUUCCACCCACUUUGACACAUAAUCAACCGCAAGCAAAAUAUAUGUAAAGCCAUACGAAGAAGGAAAAGGACCCAUAAAAUCAAUACCCCAAACAUCAAAAAUUUUCAACAUUUAGGAUAGAAACCUGCGGCAUUUGGUCCUUUGCACUAAUACCACCCAUUCGUUGGCAUUUAUCACAUGUUAAGCAAAAAGUUUUAGCAUCUUUAAAAAUACUCGGCCAAUAAAAUCCACAUUGUAACACCUUAAGGGCUGUGCGUUGUGUACCAAAGUGCCCUCCACAUGCAUAUGUGUGACAAAAAACUCAAAAAUUGAAUGACAUUCAGAAUCGUGCACACAACGACGUAUAAUCUGAUCGGGGCAAAAUUUCCAUAAGUACGGAUCAUCCCACACAUAAAACCGUGCAUCAUGCCUAAGUUUAUCACGUUGGUGCCUAGUGAACUCACUUGGAAUACGUUUUGACACCAAAAAAUUAACAAUAUCGGCAUACCAGGGUGCACUAACCUUAAUGGACAGCAAUUGUUCAUCGGGGAAUGUCUCCAAAAUCGGCACCAACUCCUCAUUAUGCACCAUUCGGCUUAGGUGGUCAGCCACCACGUUCUCACUUCCCUUCUUGUCCCGAAUCUCUAUGUCGAACUCUUGAAGUAAUAAUAUCCAUCGAAUUAGCCGUGGCUUGGCUUCCUUUUUGGUGAGCAAGUACUUCAGAGCUGCAUGAUCAGUGAAAACAAUUACUUUAGUUCCAAUUAAAUAUGAUCGAAAUUUAUCUAAAGCAAAGACAACGGCAAGAAGUUCUUUUUCCGUAGUGGAGUAGUUCAAUUGUGCAUCGUUCAACGUCCGUGAGGCGUAGUAAAUGACAUGCGGCCUCUUGUCCUUUCUUUGUCCUAAAACAGCUCCUAGAGCAUAGUCGGACGCAUCACACAUGAGCUCAAAAGGUAGACGCCAAUCCGGUGGAACAAUGAUGGGUGCCGUGGUCAACAACUCCUUGAGUUGGUUGAAUGAUGCAGUGCACUCCUUGGUGAAUUCAAAAGCCACUUCUUUUUGUAGGAGUCGGCAAAGAGGUUGUGAUAUCUUCGAGAAAUCUUUGAUAAACCUACGAUAGAAUCCUGCAUGACCAAGAAACGAACGAACCUCUCUAACCGAAGUCGGAGAGGGUAAGUGACGUACAAGAUCUAUUUUCGCCUUAUCAACCUCAAUACCCUUUUCAGAGAUUAUAUGACCUAAAACGAUACCUUGUUUAACCAUAAAAUGACACUUUUCCCAAUUAAGUACAAGGUUAGUUUCCACACAACGUUUUAGGAUCACACUUAGAUUAUGCAAACAACUAUCAAACGAAUCACCAAAUACGCUAAAAUCAUCCAUAAACACUUCAAUUAUCUUUUCUACAUGAUCAGAAAAUAUGCUCAUCAUACAUCUUUGAAAUGUAGCAGGUGCAUUACAUAAACCAAAAGGCAUGCGACGAUAUGCAAACGUACCAAACGGGCAUGUAAAAGUGGUUUUUUCUUGGUCCUCGGGUGAAAUGACAAUUUGAUUAUAACCAGAAUAACCAUCAAGAAAACAAUAAAAAGCAUAACCCGCUAACCUCUCGAGCAUUUGGUCAAUGAACGGCAAUGGGAAGUGGUCCUUCCUCGUUGUGGUGUUUAGCUUCCUAUAGUCAAUGCACACCCUCCAACCGGUUUGAAUCCGUUGAGGGACAAGCUCAUUCUCAGCAUUAGCUACCACCGUCACUCCUGAUUUCUUUGGUACGCAUUGAACCGGCGAAACCCACCUACUAUCCGAGAUUGGAUAGAUAACCCCACAAUCUAGAAGCUUUAUUAUCUCCUUUUUCACUACUUCCAUCAUCGGAGGGUUGAGACGGCGUUGAGCCUCUCUAGUUGGUUUGGCCCCCUCCUCAAGAAAUAUGUGAUGCAUACAAGUCGUAGGGCUUAUACCUUUGAUGUCGGCCAAUGUCCAACCUAGAGCAGAUUUGAACUCCUUCAAAACGCGACGCAACUUCUCCUCCUCUUGUGCCGUGAGGGAAGAGGAAAUGAUGGCAGGUAGUGUUUCCUUUUCUCCCAAGAAAAUGUACUUCAGAUGGCUUGGCAAAGGCUUGAGUUCAAGGAUAGGUGCCUGAAUUAUAGAUGGAAGCAAUUUGUUAGUCGAAAUGGGAAUGGACUCACGGUUAGUAUACUUACCAUCAAGCUUAGGUAAGGACUCAAGGGCAGCCACAACUUCAAGUAAUUCCUCACUAGGGGGCACGGCAUGGGAUGAACCAUGUAUGCCGUGAGCAUGCAUGCAAUCUGCCCCCUUUGUUUUGAGUUCCAUGCCUCGUGUAAUGACUUUUUCAAGCACAUCGUUAUUUAAAUCGUCGAGAUAUCCCUGCGCCAAAGAGUCAAUUAUAUCAAUAGAAAAGCAUGAAUGGUCCUCACUAGGGUAUUUAAUGGAAUCAGAAAGAUUAAAAUUAACAACUUCCCCAUCGAAUUCCAUGGACAAAGUUCCACUAUACACGUCAAUCUUUGUCCGAGCCGUCUUCAUGAAUGGCCUUCCAAGUAGAAUGGGCAACGAAGGAGCAUGGUCCGACUCAUCCAUUUCGAGGACAUAGAAAUCCGCUGGGAAGACUAAAUGAUUAACCUGCACAAGAACAUCUUCCAAAACUCCCUUUGGAUAGGCGUUAGAUCUAUCGGCCAAUUGUAUUAUUACCCCAUCAUUUUUCAACGCUCCUAAGUUCAUAGAUGCAUAAAUGGAAUAUGGCAUAACAUUUAUAGAAGCACCUAAAUCAAGCAUGGCAGAUUCAAACCUAUUGUUCCCAAUAACACAAGGAAUGGUAAAGCUACCUGGAUCUUUACAUUUGGGAGGUAAUUUGCGUUGCAAGAUGGCGGACACAUUCUCACCUACCUUGACCACUUCCUUGGUCGCCAUCCUCUUCCUCGUGGUACACAACUCCUUCAAGAACUUAGCAUACCUCGGAACUUGCUUGAUUGCAUCUAACAAAGGUAUGUUAACUUGAACUUUCCUAAAGGUUUCAAGGAUAUCCUUUUCUGCCUCUUCUUUCUUCGUUUGCAUGAACCUACUAGGAAAAGGCACAUUUGAAGGGAAAACAUUAGUAUGAACUGAAUUGGACACAUUCUUACCUUUGUGGGACGAAUUGGGCAGAUUUGGGACAUUAGGGACUUGCGGCAAAGGUGGAACCACCUUUGCCGUGGGCUGCUUUGAUGCCUCCUCUUCCAUUUCCAAAAAGUUCAUCCUCAUUAUGACCUGUUUUUGGUGUAGGACCUGCCCCAACUUCCUUACCACUUCUUAGGGUGAUAGCUUUGGCACUUUCGAAACCUCCAUUCGGAUUUGGAAUGGUGGAACUAGGGAGUUGUCCGGGAUCUCGAAACUUACCUACAAACUCGGCAAUCUGCCCAAUUUGUUUCUCAAGUUGAUCCACCCUUUUAUCUUGGUUUUGCAUAGCCUUAGCUUGAUCUUCCUGCCCAUUAGACAACUUAGUUAGUAUCUUAAGAAGUGCAUCAUUGUCAAGAGACGUACCUAAGGCACUUGGGCCGGAUUGGGCUUGAUUUUGGGGUGGGCCGUAGGUUUUGGGAAAGAACCCCGGGGGUUGUUGCCUAAAGCCUCCUUGGUUCUGAGGUUGCUGGGGAUCCCUCCACUUGAAGUUUGGAUGGUCUCGCCACCCCGGAUUAUACGUGUUGGAGUAUGGAUCAUGCCUUGACUGAUUUUGGCCUUGAAACCCAAUGGCAUUCGCACUCUCCCAUCCGCCAUUCUCAAUCAACUGUGGACAUUUUUCAGAGACAUGUCCUUGGAUGGAACAUACGCCACAUACAGUUGUUCCUUGCAUCUUCAUGCCCUCGGCCAUCUGAGACACAAGAGAAGUAAGAUUAGCCAAUUGUGAAUGAAGAUCGGAAGUCGAACUUACCUCAUGUACUUGGUGCCGUGGGGGUCCUCUUUGGCCUACACCUUCGUACUGUUGAGCGUUCAACGCUCUAUUAGCAAUCAAGACCUUGGCAGCCAUGGGUGUCUUGUCCACCAAUGCUCCCCCCGCCGAAGCAUCAAGCAUUUGACGUUCUAGAGGUAGGAGACCCUCGUAGAAGUAUUGCAACAGUAACUCCUCCUUCAUCUGAUGCUGUGGACAAGAAGCAACAAGUGAUUUAAACCGUUCAUAAUAUGUAGGAAAAGACUCACCUUCUUCUUGCUGAAUUCCGCUUAUCUUUUUGCGGAGGAGGAUGAUGCGAGAAGUUGGAAAGAACUUCUCCAAGAACGCUCUCUUCAUACUUUCCCACGAUGUGACAGUUCCGGGAGCUAACUCAUAUAACCAAUCCUUGGCUUUAUCCAUCAAAGAGAAUGGAAAAGCCUUCAUCUUCAAGAUAUUUCCGUCAACAUUGACGGGAGUCAUACUAGAGCAAACUACUUCAAAUUCUUUCAAAUGUUUGUUAGGAUCUUCCAUGGACAAGCCAUGGUAUUUAGGAAUAUGAUGAAGUAAACUUGACUUUAAUUCAAACUCAUCUGUCUUACCUUGGGCAGCCAUGGGGUAUUGAAUGCACAAGGGCGCGGGCAUUAUCCAAACCCGAGGCGGAAAGCUCCUUGAGUGUACGAUUGUCCAUGGCCAUGCCUUGGACUUCUUCAAAUAUCCCUGCCGUGGCUUCCUCCUCCUCUUGUUGUACGUUUUCUUCAAGGUCAGAUUCGGAACUGGUUGGAUGAUGCUCUUGCUGGUUCCUAGCUCUCCUUAACUUCCUCUCAAAAUCGUCGUCAAAAUCCAAGAUGUUUGUACGAAUCGGUUGAGAGCUUCUAGUCAUACAUUAGUACCUAAGAAACAAGAAACAAAAAUUAGGUCAGAAACUUAAAUUAAGUCAGAAACAAAGUGAAAUAAAAGAAACGAAAACAAUCCAAGGGAUUAGCAAAAUUGCUAAUCCCCGGCAACGGCGCCAAAAAUUUGAUGCGAAAUAUAUUAAGCACACAAAUUAAACCCUCUUUUUGUCAAAUUGUAGUAAAGAUGUAAGUAGGGAUCGUUCUAGACCGGGGAUUAGGAGGGAUUGCUAAACGCUUGGAAACUGACUUAAACACUCAAAAACAAAGUUAAAAACACUAAACUAGACUCAAAGAAUGCAAAACUAAAAGUUAAAACACUUAAACAAACCUAAAACUUAAAACAGCAACUAGAAGGCUCAAAACUGCCUAAAAACCACUUUCUGGGCAGUUUUGAGCACUUACACUAAUCUGGACGAAAUUGGUUGAAAACUUGAAUCAAAACACCUAGAAACACAAAUCAAAACACUUUCUAACUAAUCUAAGACUUCAAAAUAAAGGGGGAAUAGUUUUGGACAGAAAUUGAAAACAAAACAGAAACUUUAAUUAACACAGAUUGUAAAAACGAUUUUGGUGAAAAGGAUGGAUAAAAGGCUAGUUAGGAGGUUCUUCUCCACACAUGUCACACUUGCAAACAAAACGAUUUUCAGUUGUUCUUCCGAUAAACUAUGAAUACUCAACGCCCCAAGUUAACCGUGAAUUGCACUAAUUAACCCUCAGUUUUUCCAGAAUUUAUCAAGUUGGAUGAUUGCAUACGACAACUCAAAACAUUCCCUACAAGUUCCCUACAUGAAUUGCAUAAUAGAGAUACAAGCAAGAAUCAGUACGUUUUAUGAAAAACAUAAGCAUUGACGAAGCAUUUGUUACUAUGAAUUGCAUGAAACUUAUGCUAAGAAUUCAUUCAACGCGAUCGUUUUCAAGCGAUCUUCACUACUUGUGAUUAUAAGAUUAUAACUAUUAGGUGAAACUCCCUCAUAAUCUAGCAUCAUAUUCAUGCAUGAAAACUAAGCGUGCACUCUCAAUCAACAUACAUAAAUAAGUAUCAAUCAAAUAGAUGAACGAAUUGAAUCCACAACUUAUGAAAUAACAACUGAAUGUAAUCGAAUCAAAUUGCAAGCAUGUACAUGGUUUCGAAUCACCCCCCAACUAAGGGGGUUUAGUUCCUCAUACUCACAACACAAAGUUUAUUGAAUUGAAACAUCGAAGACAUAAGAAAGAUUACACCUAAAAUGCCAAGGAAGUCCACUUUGAAAUCUGCACAGAAAGCUCCUCUUUCUUCUUCUCCUUGCUGCGGCAGUGAGGGUUAGGGGGUUUUUGGAUGGUUUUGGAUGAGGGAGAAUGGUGGAAAACUAUCUAGGAUAGGUGUAGGGCACGGCUAGGAAGGUUUGGGGUCAGAAAAUAUGGAGUUGGGUGAAGGUUGGGCUCGGCAAAGGUGAGGGACAGGUUCUGGCGUGAAUGGAGUUUCUGGAUGUGUUUUUGGUUUUUUAGAAUGGAGUUAGGAUGGUAGGGUGGUGCGGCAAGGUGUGGGAAAGAGUUAUGGAGGUGUGGAAUGGUGUCUAAAGGUGGAGGAUGGUGGCUGGAAUGGAUGAAUGGCUGCGGCAAGGAAGGGAUUUGGGUGAUGGUGGCUGCGGCAAGGUGGGGAAAGGGAUAUGGUUUUCUGAUUUUUAUGGAGAGGGAAGAAGAUGUGCGGCUAGGGUGUAGAAAUAUAUAUAUAUAGGCACUUAAAAACCC